UACGUAGGUCGCAAGCGUUGUCCGGAUUUACUGGGCGUAAAGAGCGCGCAGGCGGCUGGUCAAGUCCGAUGUGAAAUCUCCCCGGCUCAACUGGGAAACUGCAUCGGAAACUGAUCGGCUUGAAGAUGGGAGAGGGUAGUGGAAUUCCCGGUGUAGUGGUGAAAUGCGUAGAUAUCGGGAGGAACACCAGUGGCGAAGGCGACUACCUGGCCCAUUCUUGACGCUGAGGCGCGAAAGCUAGGGGAGCGAACGGG
rnacentral:rRNA from 1 species